rnacentral:rRNA from 1 species
AGAGUUUGAUCAUGGCUCAGAUUGAACGCUGGCGGCAGGCCUAACACAUGCAAGUCGAGCGGUAGCACAGAGAGCUUGCUCUCGGGUGACGAGCGGCGGACGGGUGAGUAAUGUCUGGGAAACUGCCUGAUGGAGGGGGAUAACUACUGGAAACGGUAGCUAAUACCGCAUAACGUCGCAAGACCAAAGUGGGGGACCUUCGGGCCUCAUGCCAUCAGAUGUGCCCAGAUGGGAUUAGCUAGUAGGUGGGGUAACGGCUCACCUAGGCGACGAUCCCUAGCUGGUCUGAGAGGAUGACCAGCCACACUGGAACUGAGACACGGUCCAGACUCCUACGGGAGGCAGCAGUGGGGAAUAUUGCACAAUGGGCGCAAGCCUGAUGCAGCCAUGCCGCGUGUGUGAAGAAGGCCUUCGGGUUGUAAAGCACUUUCAGCGGGGAGGAAGGCGNCGAUUGACGUUACCCGCAGAAGAAGCACCGGCUAACUCCGUGCCAGCAGCCGCGGUAAUACGGAGGGUGCAAGCGUUAAUCGGAAUUACUGGGCGUAAAGCGCACGCAGGCGGUCUGUCAAGUCGGAUGUGAAAUCCCCGGGCUCAACCUGGGAACUGCAUUCGAAACUGGCAGGCUAGAGUCUUGUAGAGGGGGGUAGAAUUCCAGGUGUAGCGGUGAAAUGCGUAGAGAUCUGGAGGAAUACCGGUGGCGAAGGCGGCCCCCUGGACAAAGACUGACGCUCAGGUGCGAAAGCGUGGGGAGCAAACAGGAUUAGAUACCCUGGUAGUCCACGCCGUAAACGAUGUCGAUUUGGAGGUUGUGCCCUUGAGGCGUGGCUUCCGGAGCUAACGCGUUAAAUCGACCGCCUGGGGAGUACGGCCGCAAGGUUAAAACUCAAAUGAAUUGACGGGGGCCCGCACAAGCGGUGGAGCAUGUGGUUUAAUUCGAUGCAACGCGAAGAACCUUACCUGGUCUUGACAUCCACAGAACUUUCCAGAGAUGGAUUGGUGCCUUCGGGAACUGUGAGACAGGUGCUGCAUGGCUGUCGUCAGCUCGUGUUGUGAAAUGUUGGGUUAAGUCCCGCAACGAGCGCAACCCUUAUCCUUUGUUGCCAGCGGUUAGGCCGGGAACUCAAAGGAGACUGCCAGUGAUAAACUGGAGGAAGGUGGGGAUGACGUCAAGUCAUCAUGGCCCUUACGACCAGGGCUACACACGUGCUACAAUGGCAUAUACAAAGAGAAGCGACCUCGCGAGAGCAAGCGGACCUCAUAAAGUAUGUCGUAGUCCGGAUUGGAGUCUGCAACUCGACUCCAUGAAGUCGGAAUCGCUAGUAAUCGUAGAUCAGAAUGCUACGGUGAAUACGUUCCCGGGCCUUGUACACACCGCCCGUCACACCAUGGGAGUGGGUUGCAAAAGAAGUAGGUAGCUUAACCUUCGGGAGGGCGCUUACCACUUUGUGAUUCAUGACUGGGGUGAAGUCGUAACAAGGUAACCGUAGGGGAACCUGCGGUUGGAUCACCU